AACGCGAAGAACCUUACCAAGUCUUGACAUCGUGACGACAGGGAAGUAAUGUUCCCAUCCCUUCGGGGCGUCAUAGACAGGUGGUGCAUGGUUGUCGUCAGCUCGUGUCGUGAGAUGUUGGGUUAAGUCCCGCAACGAGCGCAACCCUUAUGCUUAGUAGCCAGCAGGUAAAGCUGGGCACUCUAAGGAGACUGCCAGGGAUAACCUGGAGGAAGGUGGGGAUGACGUCAAAUCAUCAUGCCCCUUAUGAUUUGGGCUACACACGUGCUACAAUGGCGUAAACAAAGGGAAGCGAGGGAGUGAUCCGGAGCGAAUCCCAAAAAUAACGUCUCAGUUCGGAUUGUAGUCUGCAACUCGACUACAUGAAGCUGGAAUCGCUAGUAAUCGCGGAUCAGAAUGCCGCGGUGAAUACGUUCCCGGGUCUUGUACA
rnacentral:rRNA from 1 species